GCAUUGGUAGUUCAAGAAUAGAAUUAUUGCCUUCCACGCAGGAGACCCAGGUUCAAUUCCUAUCCAAUACA
rnacentral:tRNA from 1 species